rnacentral:rRNA from 1 species
CCAGACUCCUACGGGAGGCAGCAGUAGGGAAUCUUCGGCAAUGGGGGGAACCCUGACCGAGCAACGCCGCGUGAGUGAAGAAGGUUUUCGGAUCGUAAAGCUCUGUUGUUAAGGAAGAACGAGUGUGAGAAUGGAAAGUUCAUACUGUGACGGUACUUAACCAGAAAGGGACGGCUAACUACGUGCCAGCAGCCGCGGUAAUACGUAGGUCCCGAGCGUUGUCCGGAUUUAUUGGGCGUAAAGCGAGCGCAGGCGGUUAGAUAAGUCUGAAGUUAAAGGCAGUGGCUCAACCAUUGUAGGCUUUGGAAACUGUUUAACUUGAGUGCAGAAGGGGAGAGUGGAAUUCCAUGUGUAGCGGUGAAAUGCGUAGAUAUAUGGAGGAACACCGGUGGCGAAAGCGGCUCUCUGGUCUGUAACUGACGCUGAGGCUCGAAAGCGUGGGGAGCGAACAGGAUUAGAUACCCUGGUAGUCCACGCCGUAAACGAUGAGUGCUAGGUGUUAGGUCCUUUCCGGGACUUAGUGCCGCAGCUAACGCAUUAAGCACUCCGCCUGGGGAGUACGACCGCAAGGUUGAAACUCAAAGGAAUUGACGGGGGCCCGCACAAGAAU